AGAGUGCGCUGACAGAACUUUGUCAGUAUACAGACUGAGGAAGUGGAGCUCCAUCCUUCAGAGAACUUCUGAACUCAAGUGAUUCCUGGAAACUGUUCCUCUGCUCAUGGUGGAACCUGAAGAGAGUCUAACCGGCAUCUGGACAAAGAUCUGAAGGAGAACAGCUACAGCUCUCCACUGAGUGUGAAGACGACCCUGAAGGACACAAUGCUGUCGUCGUUUAUGGAGAGGAAACGUUCUCAAUGUCGACCGGACAACAAAUCCUUCACAGUUCUGUGCAGGUUUUCCAGUUGCCUCUUUACGUGACUGAAGAUCCGGUCGGAGACUCUGAACCUCCAGAGACUGACGAGCCUUAAUGAGCUUCAUGUCACAACACCGAGUCUUUGAUGGACGAGGACGAUGACUGAAACCACCUGAACGUGGCAUUCUGACCUUCUGAUCUCCCUACCGAACACACUGAACUUGGUUUGCAGGAAUGAAGAGUUUAAAUCAGGGCAUUAAAGAAAUGUAGCAUCAUCAGAGUGAUGAUCUGGAGUCAGUGUCUGGUAGCAGGUAGAUCAGGACCAGGAUGGAAGAAGAAUGUAGAUGUUGUGUUUUAGCCAAGUUAUGAAUUAACUUCCAUGUAGCCUAAAGCAGUGGUGUAUACUCUUAAUUUUCACCUUUUUUUAUUAGUCCAGAAAAACGCCCUGUUUUAGAAACAGUGACAUAGAAGACUAUUCAAUUUAUUCAGUCAUUUCUACUUGCCCACUAUUAUAAAAUUAUCAUGACUUGAUUAGGAGCAGUUUGUAGUUAUUACUGGAUUUAUGUAACAUGUAUUUAUCAUGAGGCAAACAUGGUGUUUCAGUUACUUUUGAACAUUUAUUUAAAUAAAAUACUUCAAAUAUGAAGCUGACAGUGCAUCCUUGUUCAUAUUUCAUCAUGAAUAAAACCUCAAUAUUGUUUUAGGUCGAAUCUUAAA